GACGAACGCUGGCGGCGUGCUUAACACAUGCAAGUCGAGCGGUAAGGCCCUUUCGGGGGUACACGAGCGGCGAACGGGUGAGUAACACGUGGGUGACCUGCCCUCAGCUCUGGGAUAAGCCUGGGAAACCGGGUCUAAUACCGGAUAUGACUCCAUGACGCAUGUUGUGGGGUGGAAAGCCUUGUGCGGCUGAGGAUGGGCCCGCGGCCUAUCAGCUUGUUGGUGGGGUGAUGGCCUACCAAGGCGACGACGGGUAGCCGGCCUGAGAGGGCGACCGGCCACACUGGGACUGAGACACGGCCCAGACUCCUACGGGAGGCAACAGUGGGGAAUCUUGCGCAAUGGGCGAAAGCCUGACGCAGCGACGCCGCGUGAGGGAUGACGGCCU
rnacentral:rRNA from 1 species